GAGCCACUGUGCCUGGCCAUAAUCUUGUAACUCUUUACAGAUAUAUUCUGAAUCUAAUCUUUUGAGGUUUCUUGGUGGAGGAAGCCUGAGAGGAAGAACACCCCCAUUGUAAGUUGGGAACCAAGAUUCUAAUAAGUGACACACUCCAAGUCACUUAGAAUGGCGAGAAAUGAUUCCAGAAAAGAAUCUCUGUUUCCUGGCAACCAGCUCAGUACUCUCUGAAGGGCACUUGGAAGGAAAGUUCAAUCAAUGGAAGGGUCAAAUGUUUCUUUUUCAAAUGGCCAUUUUGCAUGUAAUGGCUGUUCUGUGCAGACAUUGUGGGCUGUUCUUCUCUUGUUCAUAAGAUCUAGGGUCCUUCUGUGCAAAUGUAUGUGCUGUGGGUAAGAAAUUACUUCAACUGAGUUUAUUGGCAUUUCUUAGCACAUACGAGUUCGAAGAAAAUUUAUUACAGGUAGUUGCAGUCUGGCAUCAUGUGGCACAUCAUCACUGUCUCUUCUGCAAAUUUCUGAGAAUAAGAAGAAUUGGUUGAAAAAACUUCUAACAUCUCCAUCGGUUUGUAAUCAGCGAAUACAAUUAUGAAGCAAUUUCCUACCUGUUUUUUUAUUUGAUCCAUGAACUUUUCAAGAGAUGUGUGCUAUUGCUGUUGUGACCAUUAGCUCCCAUUUCUCAGAUGAGGAAACUGAGGCUCAGUGAGCCUUAAAUGACUUGCCCAAAACUAUAAGGUCAGUUAGUGGUGGAACUUCUGCCUUCAAAUUUCUUGUCUUUUCCUGGAAGCAAUGUUGGCCCCCAGAUAAGAAACCACAGUUCAUAACCUCCUGUUAUUGUUGUCAAAACCUUCACCAACUUAUUGGAAAAACAAUAAUUAUAAAAAUAAUAAAAUUA
rnacentral:lncRNA from 1 species